AGUGAACGCUGGCGGUAGGCCUAACACAUGCAAGUCGAACGGCAGCACAGUAAGAGCUUGCUCUUACGGGUGGCGAGUGGCGGACGGGUGAGGAAUACAUCGGAAUCUACUUUUUCGUGGGGGAUAACGUAGGGAAACUUACGCUAAUACCGCAUACGACCUACGGGUGAAAGCAGGGGAUCUUCGGACCUUGCGCGAUUGAAUGAGCCGAUGUCGGAUUAGCUAGUUGGCGGGGUAAAGGCCCACCAAGGCGACGAUCCGUAGCUGGUCUGAGAGGAUGAUCAGCCACACUGGAACUGAGACACGGUCCAGACUCCGACGGGAGGCAGCAGUGGGGAAUAUUGGACAAUGGGCGCAAGCCUGAUCCAGCCAUACCGCGUGGGUGAAGAAGGCCUUCGGGUUGUAAAGCCCUUUUGUUGGGAAAGAAAAGCAGCAGAUUAAUACCCCGCUGUUCUGACGGUACCCAAAGAAUAAGCACCGGCUAACUUCGUG
rnacentral:rRNA from 1 species